AAUGCUGUCCUGGCACCAGUGACAUCAGUGGCCUGGCCUGGAGGGGACCUUGAAAGCUGUUCUUUGGACCCAGCAAAGCCCCACCGUGGUUGGAACGUGGGUCUCUGAGUGACUGCGUGGAGAAGAACCACUACCCUCUGCCCAAUGUAUUGGUGACAUCAGUGAGCUGUAAACUGUUAUUGGACUAAGCCAUCAAGAUUUGGGCGUUUGUUUGUUACCACAGCAACACCUGCUUUGCACGGACUAAUACAUCAUGUUCACAGACACUGCUGAUGUGUUUCACCAGAUUUAGUUUUCUCCUGAUGGUUUCUGCAGCGGGUUCUGGAGCUGUGUUCCUACCUCAAUACCUACCCUAGCAUCAAAGUCCCUGGUGGGAAAGCAAUGCUUUCUCACAUUAUGAAGAUGGAAAAGAAUAUCGUCAGGGAGAACAUCACCAGCCCAGAAAAUUGGCUGUCAGCUCCAGGCCUCCAACCCUUAUAUUUAUUCCUGGGAAACCCUUGCUAAGUUAGGCAUUGAUUCUCUGCAUGUGACACGCCAUAAUAACUUCUAACUUGGAGAGUUGGCUUGUUU
rnacentral:lncRNA from 1 species